rnacentral:rRNA from 1 species
GACUCUGCUUGACUAGCUGAGAGGAGGUGCAUGGCCGUCGUCAGUUCGUACUGUGAAGCAUCCUGUUAAGUCAGGCAACGAGCGAGACCCACGCCAACAGUUGCCAGCAUGUCCUCCGGGAUGAUGGGACACUGUUGGGACCGCCUCUGCUAAAGAGGAGGAAGGAAUGGGCAACGGUAGGUCAGCAUGCCCCGAAUUAUCCGGGCUACACGCGGGCUACAAUGGUCAGGACAAUGGGUAUCGACACCGAGAGGUGGAGGCAAUCUCCUAAACCUGUCCUUAGUUCGGAUUGUGGGCUGCAACUCGCCCACAUGAAGCUGGAAUCCGUAGUAAUCGCGUUUCAACAGAACGCGGUGAAUACGUCCCUGCUCCUU